AGUCGAACGGAAGUGUUCAGUCGGAAGUUUUCGGAUGGAAGAGUGGACAGUUUAGUGGCGAACGGGUGAGUAACGCGUGAGUAACCUGCCUUUCAGAGGGGGACAACAGUUGGAAACGACUGCUAAUACCGCAUAAGCCCACGGUGUCACAUGGCACAGUGAGAAAAGGAGAAAUCCGCUGAAAGAUGGACUCGCGUCUGAUUAGAUAGUUGGUGGGGUAACGGCCUACCAAGUCGACGAUCAGUAGCCGGACUGAGAGGUUGAACGGCCACAUUGGGACUGAGAGACGGCCCAGACUCCUACGGGAGGCAGCAGUGGGGAAUAUUGCACAAUGGGGGGAACCCUGAUGCAGCGACGCCGCGUGAAGGAAGAAGGUAUUCGUAUUGUAAACUUCUGUCGCAGAUGACGAAAAGAUGACGGUAAUCUGUAAGAAAGCACCGGCUAACUACGUGCCAGCAGCCGCGGUAAAACGUAGGGUGCUAGCGUUGUCCGGAAUUACUGGGUGUAAAGGGAGCGCAGGUGGCAGUGCAAGUUGGAUGUAAAAUCUACGGGCUCAACCCGUAUAAGCAUUCAAAACUGUGCAGCUUGAGUGAAGUAGAGGUAGGUGGAAUUUCCGGUGUAGCGGUGGAAUGCGUAGAUAUCGGAAGGAACAUCAGUGGCGAAGGCGACCUACUGGGCUUUAACUGACGCUGAGGCUCGAAAGCAUGGGUAGCAAACAGGAUUAGAUACCCUGGUAGUCCAUGCUGUAAACGAUGAUUACUAGGUGUGGGGGCGAAAGUUUCCGUGCCGGAGUUAACACAAUAAGUAAUCCACCUGGGGAGUACGACCGC
rnacentral:rRNA from 1 species